rnacentral:lncRNA from 1 species
UCUUGAACUGUAGAUUCCAAAAUCCCCGCGUGUUGUGGGAGGGACUCGGUAGGAAGUAAUUGAAUCAUGGGGGAAUUACUUGCAUGCUGUUCUUGUGCUAGUGAAUUCUCAUGAGAUCUGAUGGUUGUAUAAGGGUCUUUUCCCCUCAUUUGCACAGCACUUCUCCUUGCUGCUGCCAUGUGAACAAGAACAUGUUUGCUGCCCCUUCAGGGAUGAUUGUAAGUUUCUUGAGGCCUCCUCAGAGCUGCAGAACUGUUUGUCUGCUGCUCACUGAUGCCCAAAUGGGCCCCUGCAGAGCGAUCUAUGGGCUGCAUCACCAGUUUCCACUUGUCUUUUGGCUUCCAGUUGUGUUUACACUCAUCCAAGAUUGAGAAUCUAGUAGAAAGUCAGAUGUAGUGUUUAUUUUUCUGAAUCCUUCUAUGCCGGGCACAGUCACAGACCUGUGGUUGACUAUUUUUUCAUGGCCAUGUAUCCUGCUGAGCUCUGGCAACAAUGUCCCCCAUUUACCCCUUCAGGGGGAAGUAACUGUUCCUUGCUCUUGCUAGUCUCAGUGUACUUUAUCAUUUAUUAUUAUUUCUCUUAUCCUUGUGCAAACAUUUGUAAAUAUUCUCUUCAUUAAACUAUCUUCUUGUAAACCUUUUGAAUGUACAGUCUAUUUUCUGCCAAGUCCAUGUUUGUUAAAUUGAGCAAACAAGUUUUGUCUUUAUAAACCACUAGAAUAAUUCAGUAGGAGAACAGGACAAUUGCCAUUUCAGCAUUUCGUCUUGCCUAUCUAUUGGCAGUUAGACUUAUUUAUUAAACAUUAGAAAAAACUCCUCUCAUUUUUGGCAAAUACUUGGCAUAAUUUACUGUUAAAAAUUCACAUAUAAAUAUGUGCAAUGUAAUUAAAAGGCAUUGCUCAGUCAUAAAAUAUUGCAGACAUGGUCCCUAGAGAGGCCUGAAGCUGGGUUGUCAAAAAUGUUCUAUCUGGAAAAGAUGCAUCAUUCCAUCUUGCAGAAAAUUAUUAGAAUGGCUCUGUGGUAAUUUUGUGCUAGUUAUACGUAAUUGAUGAUGAGACAGGCACAUAGCUGGUUUUCAGAAUAGGUAAAUGCUCUUGCUAGUCUACGUAGCUUUUUUGUGUCAUUUUAAAAAUAAAAAUAAAAAACAAUACUUCUGCUUUGGGCAAUAUUAUUUAUAUGAGCACAAGAUUUAGGGAGCAGGAAACACAUUUCUAUGAAGAAAACCAAUAUCCUUUGGUUUGGGUAGACCCGCUCUCACAAGAAGUUCUAAG